UACGGGNNGCAGCAGUGAGGAAUAUUGGUCAAUGGUCGAGAGACUGAACCAGCCAAGUAGCGUGAAGGAAGACUGCCCUAUGGGUUGUAAACUUCUUUUAUGAGGGAAUAAAGUGUGCCACGUGUGGCAUUUUGUAUGUACCUCAUGAAUAAGCAUCGGCUAAUUCCGUGCCAGCAGCCGCGGUAAU
rnacentral:rRNA from 1 species